rnacentral:rRNA from 1 species
GACGAACGCUGGCGGCGUGCUUAACACAUGCAAGUCGAACGGAGUGGCGAACGGGUGAGUAUUACGUGAGUAACCUGCCCUCAACUGUGGGAUAAGCCUGGGAAACUGGGUCUAAUACUGCAUAGUUGGGGAUGGGCUCGCGGCCUAUCAGCUUGUUGGUGGGGUGUUGGCCUACCAAGGCGGUGACGCGGAGCCGGCCUGGGAGGGUGGUCGGCCACAAUGGGGCUGGGGUACGGCCCAGGCUCCUACGGGAGGCAGCAGUGGGGGAUUUUGCACCAUGGGCGCAAGCCUGGUGCAGCGCCGCCGCGUGAGUGAUGAAGGCUUUCGGGUUGUAAAGCUCUGUUAAUCGGGACGCGGUACCGGAAUAAAAAGCCACGGCUAACUACGUGCCAGCAGCCGCGGUAAUUC